rnacentral:rRNA from 1 species
GGCAGAGGGUGCAAACGUUGUUCGGAAUUACUGGGCGUAAAGCGCGUGUAGGCGGCUAAGUAAGUCGGGCGUGAAAUCCCACGGCUCAACCGUGGAAGUGCACUCGAAACUGCGUAGCUAGAGUCCUGGAGAGGAAGGUGGAAUGCUUGGUGUAGCGGUGGAAUGCGCAGAUAUCAGGAGGAACACCGGUGGCGAAGGCGGGUCUCUGGGCCAUUACUGACGCUGAGGAGCGAAAGCGUGGGGAGCGAACAGG